rnacentral:tRNA from 1 species
GGAGAGGCAAGCCGAUGGGUUAGACGGCAGUGGUCCUGAAAACCGCCGAGGCGCAAGCCCUUGGGGGUUCGAAUCCCUCCCUCUCCGC